rnacentral:rRNA from 1 species
CAACCCUUGACAUGGGUAUCGCGGGAUCAGAGAUGGUCCUUUCAGUUCGGCUGGAUACCACACAGGUGCUGCAUGGCUGUCGUCAGCUCGUGUCGUGAGAUGUUCGGUUAAGUCCGGCAACGAGCGCAACCCACAUUUUCAGUUGCCAUCAUUCAGUUGGGCACUCUGGAGAAACUGCCGGUGAUAAGCCGGAGGAAGGUGUGGAUGACGUCAAGUCCUCAUGGCCCUUACGGGUUGGGCUACACACGUGCUACAAUGGUGGUGACAAUGGGUUAAUCCCAAAAAGCCAUCUCAGUUCGGAUUGGGGUCUGCAACUCGACCCCAUGAAGUCGGAAUCGCUAGUAAUCGCGUAACAGCAUGACGCGGUGAAUACGUUCCC